GCUGGUUGCAGUGGCGUGUGCCUGUAGUCCCAGCUACUUGGGAGGCUGAGGUGGGAGGAUCCCUUGAGUCCAGGAGUUCUGGGCUGUAGUGCGCUAUGCCCAUCAGGUGUCUGCACUAAGUUUGGCAUCAAUAUGGUGACCCCCCGGGAGCAGGGGACCACCAGGUUGCCUAGGGAGGGGUGAACUGGCCCAGGUUGGAGAUGGAGCAGCUCAAAACUCCCGUGCUGAUCAGUAGUGGGAUGGUGCCUGUGAAUAGCCACUGCACUCCAGCCUGGGCAACAUAGCGAGACCCAGUCUCU
rnacentral:SRP_RNA from 1 species